GACGAACGUUGGCGGCGUGCCUAAUACAUGCAAGUCAACUGAAGCAAGGUAGCAAUAUCUUGUGGAGGUGGCGCACGGGUGAGUAACACGUAGGUAAUCUGCCUUCAGGUCUGACAUAACUCCGGGAAACCGGAGCUAAUAGCAGAUGAUGCAGCGGCUUGACAUCAAGACAGUUGUUAAAGCUUCGGCGCCUGAAGAUGAGCCUGCGUCUGAUUAGCUAGUUGGCGGAGUAAUAGCCCACCAAGGCGACGAUCAGUAACUGGUCUGAGAGGAUGAUCAGUCACACUGGAACUGAGACACGGUCCAGACUCCUACGGGAGGCAGCAGUAAGGAAUAUUGCUCAAUGGGGGAAACCCUGAAGCAGCAACGCCGCGUGAGGGAU
rnacentral:rRNA from 1 species